CCUCCUCCGAGCAGUGUGGAAGCGCUCCUCGGCGUCCGGCUUCGGCGGUGGCAGCCCGCGGGGCCUUCGAUGCAGCGAGGUAUCCUGGUCCUGAAGCUAAAGUGCAAGUGUGCAGGCGACUGCCGGGGAGAAGUCUUCACUUACCUCGUGGACUAGGAAACUUGCGGAGAAGCGUCCUCACGAAUCGCGCUGUUUCCAAAUGAAGUGACUAAAGGGAAGAUGAGAGAGAAGCCCUGGGUGACCCACUGGUGUCGGGGAAAUCAUGGACUCCUGCGAACACUUUGGUCUUGGGUGGCCACAGAUCUGAAGUCUCGGGAACAAGGCGAGCUGCCAGCUUUCAGCUGGAAACGAUAGCGCUGGAUCCGGUGUCUUGACUCUUGCAACUAGGAAAUUGCAGACAUCUUUGCAAACAGUCAAGGAAGCAGGUUGCCAGGCACAGCCGGAGACCAGAUCUAAUUUUGACGCCAUUCCGCUCCGGCGCGCUUCCCAGCAGGAGUGAGCGACUGGGGGGAGGCCCUGGGGAAAAUGAACCAUCUCCCAGCUGCUUCUGUGAAACCUAUCCCCGCCUCUCCGGCCUCCCGGUUUUCCUUCGCGAAGCUAACUUGAUCUCCCUGGACACAAACGCGACAGGCUCGCGUCUCGGAACUGCACACACCCCACGACUCCUGCCCGCGCCCCGCUCCUGCUUCGCCUUCGAGGUGUUUCCAAGCAGGUGCCUCCAGCAAAAGCGCUUUGAGGAAUGAGGCACCUUUGGGUGGGAACCCGAUUUUCAGAACCUCACUCUGUAGCCAGUGAGGAAGACCACGAUAUGGUGCGCUAAGAAAUGGCCCGCCAAACAACUGGUCACUGGGAACUGUCAGACCAGCCAGGCCUCUAAAAGCACAGGACGCCCCAAACUGAUCCUGGAACCCCCCCCCCCCAGACGUCCACACAGUUCACUUGACCGCUCCAAAGUCUCCCUUUCGUCCUUUGUAUUUUUUCUUGACCAUAUGGGCAGUUCUGAGAGCAGACUUGACCAGUCAAAGUUCACAAUGACACAAACGAAGUAAUUGAAAUUCUCUGAAAAUCAGAAAGCAUUGUGAGUGCAAAAUGUCAAUACGAUCUCCUUGUCUAAAUGCCUAAUUUUUUUUUUCUUCAGAAACAUCAGGUCCUGGGUAACAAGUCAGUAAGAAAACAAAGAAGGCAAUCUGAAAAGUCACAGAGGGACUUACAGGUCCUGUUUUAUUAAUGUUCAAGCAGCAGUGUUUGACUCUCAAAGGAAGCUGCCCUUUCGCUGCGUCAGCCAAAUAAAACUGGGAAGCUUUACCCUCUCUGUGGCCAAGAGGGAAUAAGGCUUUCAAAUGGUUGUGUAGAUUUCUUUAUCCCUGGAGAAGUUAUGA